rnacentral:rRNA from 1 species
CUCUAAGGUGACUGCCGGCUAAAAGUCGGAGGAAGGUGGGAUGACGUCCAAUCAUCAUGCCCCUUAUGACCUGGGCUACACACGUGCUACAAUGGGCGGUACAAAGGGUCGCGAACCCGCAGGGGGAGCCAAUCCCAAAAAGCCGCUCUCAGUUCGGAUUGCAGGCUGCAACUCGCCUGCAUGAAGCCGGAAUCGCUAGUAAUCGCGGAUCAGCAUGCCGCGGUGAAUACGUUCCCGGGCCUU